CAGCAUGUUUCCAAGGGCUGUGGCCGGUUGUGGCCAUGGGAUCUCCAACUGCAUGCGAGAGCAACCUGGAGAGACUUUGACAGCACAGGUCAACAUAAUACCUGCAGCUGCCACUCGCCUUUCCUAUAAAC
rnacentral:snoRNA from 10 species